UACAGAGGUCUCAAGCGUUGUUCGGAUUCAUUGGGCGUAAAGGGUGCGUAGGUGGCGGGGUAAGUCAGGUGUGAAAUCUCGGGGCUCAACCCCGAAACUGCACUUGAUACUGCCUUGCUCGAGUACUGGAGAGGAGAUUGGAAUUUACGGUGUAGCAGUGAAAUGCGUAGAUAUCGUAAGGAAGACCAGUGGCGAAGGCGGCCGCCUGGACCUGUCCUGACGCUGAGGCGCGAAGGCGUGGGGAGCGAACGGG
rnacentral:rRNA from 1 species